rnacentral:rRNA from 1 species
GACGAACGCUGGCGGCGUGCUUAACACAUGCAAGUCGAACGGAAAGGCCCUGCUUUUGUGGGGUGCUCGAGUGGCGAACGGGUGAGUAACACGUGAGUAACCUGCCCUUGACUUUGGGAUAACUUCAGGAAACUGGGGCUAAUACCGGAUAGGAGCUCCUGCUGCAUGGUGGGGGUUGGAAAGUUUCGGCGGUUGGGGAUGGACUCGCGGCUUAUCAGCUUGUUGGUGGGGUAGUGGCUUACCAAGGCUUUAACGGGUAGCCGGCCUGAGAGGGUGACCGGCCACAUUGGGACUGAGAUACGGCCCAGACUCCUACGGGAGGCAGCGGUGGGGAAUAUUGCACAAUGGGCGGAAGCCUGAUGCAGCAACGCCGCGUGCGGGAUGACGGCCUUCGGGUUGUAAACCGCUUUCGCCUGUGACGAAGCGUGAGUGACGGUAAUGGGUAAAGAAGCACCGGCUAACUACGUG